AUGGCUUUGUGACUCACGGCACGUAGGCCUCUCUCCCUCUCUCUAUCCGCGACUGGCCCUCUCUUUCUAAUACCUUUCGUCUCUCUCUCACCCCUCUUUCAGCACUCCCUUCUUCGGGCUUCGAGUGUGCAUCUUGAUGCGCAGCUGUCCAAAAGACAUUGAGUUGGGCCCAUUGAACCGCUUUUAUUAUUGGAUGGAUGACUCCUCGGUAUCAUGAUACGAUUUCUUACUUAGUAUAUUGCACAGUGCACAAACAAAAAAUUUGUCUGCUUAGUUGGUCAUUCAUUUCGCACAUGUUUUAAGGUCAAGAAAAACCCCUAGCCGGCGUAUAAGCAACAAGAUGCUUUGGGGGCUAAAUAUCCCUUUGAAAUGCAUAUAAAAUAUUUUUUAGGUCGUAUAUUUCCUUGAGAAAGGAAUUCAACAAGCAAUCUGUGGCUUAUAAGGCUAAAAAGUGAUGUAUUUCAUAACAUAUGGUUCGAUUUUGGCACAAACUGAUUAGAUUAAUACUGGAUGGAAUUUAAUUGAACACACAAAUUCAGGUUGAACCGGCAUUACUUUUGUGAGUGAUUUUGCAGAACUGUAGUAUAAUUUCAUAGUCAACAACCUUUUGGACAACAAACAAAGUGCUUUUACGCAGUCUACCAAAAAGAUUAUAGAAUAAAGAUAAUCUUUCAAUAUUUUUUUUGCGAUGUAAAUUUAUUCAUACUAGAUCCAAGCAGUUACAAGAUUUUAAACCAUACAUAUGCUGAAGUACUUUGCAAAUUGUAAACGUGGAUGUUGAUAAAGUGAGCAGUCAAAAUACAAUUGAAGAGAAUGCCAAAGGCGCAAUUUCUGGAAACGACCGAUAGGGAAAUGCCCUCCCACAAAAUGUAUUUAUUUACGAAUUAUUUUAGCAAGUCAGACAGAAGAAGAAGAAGAGCGGGACGGAGAAAGGGAGAGCGCAAAAAAUAAACCACAACUGACGUCAAGCGGGCCAAGUGCAAAGUAAAGAAACAAGACAUGACAUGAAUGAAAGAACAGGAGCGGGGAGUGAGGCUGACAGAGAGAGAAAGGGUGCGUUGGCAGCUUCUUUGUUGUCAUUCGGAGUUUUGCGGAUUCUUUGUUGUUUCCCUCUCUUUCUCUCCCCCAUUGCAAGAAACAAGUGCAAAGUAAACAAAUAAAAACAGAACGAAAUCAAAAAGCAGACAAAGCAAAGCCUUGAAAAAAAUGGGAUGCGGAUACCAACAAAUUACAAAUAACUCCAUAAAUACAUACACAUGUUAUAGAUACACUCACAACAACAACAACAAGGCGGCAUAACGGGUUACCGUGUUAUUGUUAUGAUUGCAAAAAGGGGAGACGCAAAAAAACACGAAUGAAAGAGCAAAGCAGACGAAAACAAACAACUUACCGCCCAGCAAAUCUUCGCUCGAUUUUGGUGUCGUAGACAUUUUGUUUUUGUUUAUCGGUAUGUGUGUUCAACAC